ACCCAAGGCUGUGUGUCCAAAGGCAACUGUACUGAAUACCGGAAAGCAUGUAUUUGUUUGCUAAAUUGCUCUCUUUCCACCAGUGAUAUCAAUUCUGAAAUACUUUUGAGAUCUUGACAAUAAUCAAAAGGUAGCCAGGUGCAUCGGGGAAAGCACUGACAUUGGAGUCAGACAGACUGAAGUUCAUAUCUGAUUCUGCUAUAUGACAACGUG
rnacentral:lncRNA from 10 species